rnacentral:lncRNA from 1 species
CGAUUUAACAGUACACAUGUUUGGAAGAUAGACGCGAAAUUGUCACUUAUUGGUCCAGUGGCUAAUAUUUCAUGAAUGUUCAGGACUAUAGGCAAAACGCAGUUAUACGCUAAAAUAACCGUUCCAUUGCUCCGGUGUAUCAUAUAUACACAUUUAGGAUAGGGGGCAAUGAAUAUUACCAGGGGAGAGGCGAUGAUUCAAAAGUUAUGAAACGAGCACCAGCAUAUGGCAUAGUAUGAAGAUCAUCUUUUUUUUAUUUCAUUUUCAUUUUAUUAUUUUGAGCGUUGCAAAUUUUGAAUCAAGGAAGUAUUUGUGUUUCUGUUAGGGAAGAAGACAAUGUAUUUGCUUAGACAUUUUCUUAGGUUAAACAGUGCAACAUUGUAAUAUUGAAGAGUGGGGGAGGGUCUGGUUUUUAGUCGUUUAUGGG